rnacentral:rRNA from 1 species
GAGCGGCGAACGGGUGAGUAACACGUGGGUAACCUGCCCUGUACUCUGGGAUAAGCCUGGGAAACUAGGUCUAAUACCGGAUAUGACCUGCCUCUGCAUGGGGGUGGGUGGAAAGUUCCGGCGGUACAGGAUGGACCCGCGGCCUAUCAGCUUGUUGGUGGGGUAAUGGCCUACCAAGGCGACGACGGGUAGCCGGCCUGAGAGGGUGACCGGCCACACUGGGACUGAGACACGGCCCAGACUCCUACGGGAGGCAGCAGUGGGGAAUAUUGCACAAUGGGCGAAAGCCUGAUGCAGCGACGCCGCGUGAGGGAUGACGGCCUUCGGGUUGUAAACCUCUUUCAGCGGGGACGAAGGGCAACUGACGGUACCCGCAGAAGAAGCACCGGCUAACUACGUGCCAGCAGCCGCGGUAAUACGUAGGGUGCGAGCGUUGUCCGGAAUUAUUGGGCGUAAAGAGCUCGUAGGCGGUUUGUUGCGUCGGCUGUGAAAACUUCACGCUUAACGUGGAGCCUGCAGUCGAUACGGGCAGACUUGAGUUCGGCAGGGGAGACUGGAAUUCCUGGUGUAGCGGUGAAAUGCGCAGAUAUCAGGAGGAACACCGGUGGCGAAGGCGGGUCUCUGGGCCGAUACUGACGCUG